rnacentral:rRNA from 1 species
AGUGAACGCUGGCGGUAGGCCUAACACAUGCAAGUCGAACGGCAGCACAGGAGAGCUUGCUCUCUGGGUGGCGAGUGGCGGACGGGUGAGGAAUACAUCGGACUCUACCUUUUCGUGGGGGAUAACGUAGGGAAACUUACGCUAAUACCGCAUACGACCUACGGGUGAAAGUGGGGGACCGCAAGGCCUCACGCGAUUAGAUGAGCCGAUGUCCGAUUAGCUAGUUGGCGGGGUAAUGGCCCACCAAGGCGACGAUCGGUAGCUGGUCUGAGAGGAUGAUCAGCCACACUGGAACUGAGACACGGUCCAGACUCCUACGGGAGGCAGCAGUGGGGAAUAUUGGACAAUGGGCGCAAGCCUGAUCCAGCCAUACCGCGUGGGUGAAGAAGGCCUUCGGGUUGUAAAGCCCUUUUGUUGGGAAAGAAAUCCUGUCGAUUAAUACUCGGUGGGGAUGACGGUACCCAAAGAAUAAGCACCGGCUAACUUCGUG